CGUUAGCGGCGGACGGGUGAGUAACACGUGGGUAACCUACCUAUAAGACUGGGAUAACUUCGGGAAACCGGAGCUAAUACCGGAUAAUAUUUCGAACCGCAUGUUCGAUAGUGAAAGAUGGUUUUGCUAUCACUUAUAGAUGGACCUGCGCCGUAUUAGCUAGUUGGUAAGGUAACGGCUUACCAAGGCGACGAUACGUAGCCGACCUGAGAGGGUGAUCGGCCACACUGGAACUGAGACACGGUCCAGACUCCUACGGGAGGCAGCAGCC
rnacentral:rRNA from 1 species